rnacentral:rRNA from 1 species
AGCUCCAAUAGCGUAUAUUAAAGUUGCUGCAGUUAAAAAGCUCGUAGUUGGAUUUGUGGGAUGGCCGUCCGGCGGGGGGCCAUUUAUUGGUCCCGUUUGUCCUGGUUUUCGGCCUUCCCUUUCUCGGGUCUAGCGUAUUGGCUGGCAUUAGGUUGUCGGCCGCUUCGCGCCCGUCGUUUACUGUGAAAAAAUUAGAGUGCUCAAAGCAGGCUUUAGCCUGCAUACUGUUGCAUGGAAUAAUGAAAUAGGACUUCGGUUCUAUUUUGUUGGUUUUCGGAAUUGAAGUAAUGAUUAAAAGGGACAGACGGGGGCAUUCGUAUACCAGGGGGAGAGGUGAAAUUCUGAGAUCCUUGGUAGACGAUCUACUGCGAAAGCAUUUGCCAAGAAUGUUUUCAUUAAU